rnacentral:pre_miRNA from 1 species
AUUAUACUCUCUCCAUACGAAAAUAAUUAUCAUAGGAAUGAAUGUAUCUAGAUGCGUUUUAGUUCUAGAUACAUCUAUUUUUAUAUAUUUGUGCGAUAAAUAAUUCGGAUGGAGGGAGUACUUU